GGCAUCUUCAAAGAAUGCUGGCAUGGAGGGAAAAAUGAUCCAGUGGCUUUGAUGAAAGGGAAGAACAUCUUCUCUUUGUAGUUUUUAGUUCAAGGACCACUGUCCUGAGAUCAGAGAUGAAAUGCUUUGGAAGACUAAAGUGUUCUGCAACAGGUUUUUGUGUAUUUCCACAAAAUAAUGUCUAAUUUAUGUCCAUUUAUCCUCUGGCACAGAGAAUGGCCUCUUUGGCAUUCAUACGGUUAUCCACCCACUCUGGUCUUAGGCCAUGGAAGGGGAGCUACUUUGUUUGUAUCGGCAUCCAGAAAAGACAGUGUUGCCUUUUGGGAGGAGGGAUUUGAUGUUUGUAUGCACAGAUUCACGAGUCGACAUUUCACCUCCUCCUUCUCUACCAGUUUCACUUUAUAGAUGCAAAAGUGGACAAGCAGAAUGAAAGGAAAAAAUGGCUAUUUGAUUAAAUAAAUGUGUGAAUAUUCUCAUUCACUGUGGGAAUAAGAAACCCCCUAUAACCCACAACUGUUGUGAUGUGACCAGACAUAAACUGAUACAGUGAUCAUACACAUAUAGUAGAAAAACCCCACUGCAUCAUUGUAGCUAUGUAAUGAUUGUCCAUGUGGCUUUUCAAACAGAUUUCAGUUUGGAUUAAAACAGUUAUGUGCCCAUAAAGUGGUCUAACUGAGGCAUGGAUACUACGCAGUGGAGCUGGGAUACAGUCUUCAUGUAGAUUCAGCUUAAGAUUUAGGGGGGAAAGCAGGAAAAUGGAAGAGGGCUCUCUGAGGUACUGCUGUUACAAUAACUGAUGUAAUAAAGUACAGCAUCAUCCAAAAUCCACAAAACAGUGACACCUUUAUUGGAAAAACCGAAAUGCACAAAAUACAUGUUGCAAGCUUUCAAAGCUCUAUUUGCUUCUUCAUCAGGCAAAAGUGUUAAAAAUGAUAGGAGAAGGAAAUAAAAUGACAAAAAUAUUCAAAAAUAUUGAUGUAACAAAGGUACCUUUUCCAAAGUCUAUGUGCUUGACUUUCUAUGAGAACAGUGGUCCAAAAAAGAAACUUGUCCAAACUUUGGACUAAUAUUCAUGUGGGAUGGUUUCGUCCUCAUUCACAUUUACUAGAAAAAUUUCCUUUUAUACCAGCAGGAGUUAAUGAUGAAGAACAUACAUAACAAAAUGGAAUAAUUCUUCUGGCAGUGCAUUAUAUACUCAAAAACCUAUCCUCAUUUUCUUUCCUGCCCGCCUGCCAUCCUCCCAUUAUAAUUCACCCUCCUACAUAGUUCCCUGACCCACGUUUGUCUUAGGAAUAAUUUUGGCAUCACCUGAAAGUCGUGCUUGCUAAAUGCUGAACUUGCUUCUCUUGUGCUCCCGUUACCAUUAAUAGGUUUGGCAUUGACUGACAGUUCUGUUGUCCUAAAUUUCUCAUUGUGUGAUCUGAAAUGACUUGAGGCAACUUGGACUUUGUCAGAAGUAGAGCAAGACUUGUUUGAGAAUACAAGUGAUGACUUGAGUCCUAAAAUAAGUUAAUCUAUGGGUGUUUCAAGAAGGAGGGCUUCCGAUCCCCCUAUUACUGGCAGACCCACUACACCUUACAGUAGGAAUGAGCAAGUGUGUUGGGCUUUGGUGGCCAAUUCAGUGGCCAAUGUGGGGUUUAGAGGUCACAUGCAACCUGUGUACUCCUUGUUCUGAAAGGCCCCUUGGUCUCUGGAGAGAUUUCACAGGGCUUGAAAAAAUCCCCAGAAUUUCCCAGACAGUAUAUCUACCAGCCAUGUUGGCUGAGGUAUUCUGGGACUUUUAGUCCAGAAAGUAGUUUUUUACAUAUUCUUGUUUUAGAGAAUUACACAUAGAUGCAGGAGGGAUGAAGUUAUUUUAGCAUCCAACUCAGUGUUUCCACCAUUGGAUGAAAUCCAGAAAGCUGGUCCAGCUUGUGAAAAAGGCUUGCCUUGGUCCAGAGAUGUGUUCAAUGUUCUUUCUUUGCACACAUUUUUCAAACAGCAACCAGCUUUGAAAUGCACAUCAUUUAAAAAUCAGGUUGUCUUGAAACAUGAAAAGCUAGAGCCCACUUGAGCUCACUGUAAGUUGAAUUUUACUUGAGAUGACAGAAAUAGUUACACUUUAAAAAGCCCCACCUGUUCAUUGACUAGGGGAGACAUAAAAAUUGGUUACUGCUGUGUGCCAAAAGUCUUGUCUAGUUUAUUUCUAAGUCAAAGCACUGGGCAGAAUCAUGUAGGUGUAUUGUUGUUGUUGUUGUUGUUGUGUGCUUUCAGGUUUUUUUCCAACCUAUGGACAAACCUAUCAUGAGGUUUUCUUGACAAGAAUCAUUCAGAGGAGGUUUGCUAUGGCCUUCCUUUGAGACUGAGAGAGCAUGACUUUCUUGACGCCACUCAGUGGGUUUUGCUUGUGGAGAGAGAAUUGGAACCUUAAAAUCAUUUACUUAAUCAUUUAGUUAAACUCAAGAGUUAACUACUAUACUGGUUCUUUGAGUGUAGAUGUCUGAGUUAUGCAUAAGUCCCCCUAUGGAAGUGAUUGGACAUUUUUGUUUGAUGCUCAACAUCUGCAUUCAGUUCAAAGUUACAGAAGUCAAAUUGAGCGUGCAGUACUGUACUAUUGUGCAUUCAGAUGUUCAUUUGGUUGCAUAUCCAGGUGUAUAUUCAGUUGUGCAACACAACAAUGAUUGUGUAGCACAACAAAAGCUUAACUCGUCAGGUGGAGGAUAAUGCUACUCAACCUUGACCCACCAUUGAGGGUUGCUCACAGAAUGAGGCACCCAGCAAUGAUCAUAUGGCUGGUCAUCUCAGUGAAUGACUGGUUAGAGCAGUGAAUGCUCCAGGUUGCUCAACAGGAUGCCGAUGCAGACAGCUGCUCCAGUUCUACGAUGGAGGGCUCUGGAUUUUCAGGCAAGAUCCAUAGUAAGAGAUAGGUUUUAAAAAUGCAUGUUAAGCAUGUUAUAACAUUCUGAUGUUGAACAUGCUGGAUGUCAUCUGAACUGUUCACACCAAACCAGGGGUUUGGGCCCUUAGGAUCUCAGCCAAUAGGUAAUACCAUUCAAUACUACCCAGAUGAAAACCAGGACAUGAGUGACCAAGGAAUAUCAGAGUAUGGUCAAGAUGGCAAAAACUGUUAAUGAGGAAGAACUCACAAGCUAGAAGAGACUGCAGAGUUUGCUUUUGCUUGGGCCUACUGGAAGAGCAAAAUGUUGAACCCUCCACUUCUCUAUGAUUCUGUGAUUCUUCACUCGGCUGAGUUAACUGAGUGCAAACUACUUUGCACUUGCAUUCAGUUUGUACCAAUAAAAAUAAGCUGGGGUAGAAGGCAUUAGAGAGCCAGUGUGCUGUAGUAGUUUGAGUGUUGAACUAUGACUCUGGAGACCAGGGUUUAAAUCCCUGCUUGGCCAUAGAAACCCAUCCUCUCUAAGCCUUAAAGGAUGGCAAUGGCAAAUUCCCGCUGAAUAAACUUUCCAAAAAAAGCCUCUUGAUAGUGUUACCUUAGGGUCACCAUAGGUUGGAAAGAUGUGAAGGCAUACAACAACAACAACAAUAAAAACAACAGAAUGGAUUAAGUGGGAGAAAUAAAGAGAAACUGGGACAUUAAAUAAGCAUCUGAAAAGUGGGAGAGCAGAGGAUUAGUUGGGACUGUUGCUGACAAAUCAGGAGAGUUGGUGGGUUUAGUAAAAUCAUAGAAUCAUAGAGUUGGAAGAGACCACAAGGGUGAUCCAGUCCAACCCCUGCCAUGCAGGAGCUCAUUAUCAAAGCAACCCUGACAGAUUGCCAU